GUUGUUGUGGCUGAGAGGUUAAGGCGACGGGUUUGAAAUCCGUUGGGGUCUGCCCACGCAGGUUCGAAUUCCUGCCAGCAACG